rnacentral:rRNA from 1 species
GACGAACGCUGGCGGCGUGCCUAAUACAUGCAAGUAGAACGCACAGUUUAUACCGUAGCUUGCUACACCAUAAACUGUGAGUUGCGAACGUGUGAGUAACGCGUAGGUAACCUGCCUGGUAGCGGGGGAUAACUAUUGGAAACGAUAGCUAAUACCGCAUAAUAUUGAUUAUUGCAUGAUAAUUGAUUGAAAGAUGCUAUUGCAUCACUACCAGAUGGACCUGCGUUGUAUUAGCUAGUAGGUGAGGUAACGGCUCACCUAGGCGACGAUACAUAGCCGACCUGAGAGGGUGAUCGGCCACACUGGGACUGAGACACGGCCCAGACUCCUACGGGAGGCAGCAGUAGGGAAUCUUCGGCAAUGGACGAAAGUCUGACCGAGCAACGCCGCGUGAGUGAAGAAGGUUUUCGGAUCGUAAAGCUCUGUUGUAAGAGAAGAACGGGUGUGAGAGUGGAAAGUUCACACUGUGACGGUAUCUUACCAGAAAGGGACGGCUAACUACGUG